AUAAAGACCAUAAGAUUCCUGCCUUGUCAGAUGAGCCAAGAUUACAUAGUUUAUGUAGUUUUUGGGGGGAAGAACAGAUCCAAAACGGUGGCUGGCAAACGGUAGCGGAUGACCUGCUCCAAGACCAUUACUUUAACCCAUUUAAGCCUAAGCCGCUCCAGCCAAAAGCCCAGCCAAUUAGCACUAUCUAAAGUGGAGCCCGUGUACCUGGGAUUUUAUGGGACCUGUGGGACAUUUUUAUCGCUAGAGAUGGGAGUACUUUCAAUGGGGUAUAUGGUACUACCACUACUGUAUGGCAUAUCCACCCACACAUUGGCCAAUUAAGGAGAGAGACCCGGGAACCGUGUUCCAAAAGUCAUCGAAUUUCAAUUACAGGAAGCGGAAAAUGAAUGAAAAUACGCAUAUGGAAAUAUGCAGCGAAUUUCUGUCCAGUUUGGCAGAAAAUUUCAUUGAGUACGCAGCGGCAACUCAAAACUGUGUCACCUUGACGGGAAAAAAAGACAAAAAAAAAUACAAAAAGCAAUCUUUGCGUAUAAUGGGAUUUCAAGACGGGAACGAUGAUGAUGAUGAUGAAGAAGAAGAGGAAGAGGAAGACGCAACAGCUGCGCAAGCGCUUUGCAAGAAGAAGGAAGAAGAACUGGAAGGAGGGGUGGAAAAGCUAAGACAGACAACAACCCUUCUUCUUUCGGCCAAAUACAGCCCUUAGUUUGGCAAGACCAAAAAUUAAAAUAAAAUAAGAAAAGAAAUAUCAUGGAAGCGCUGUAUAUCGGGUAUUUUGUUGUUUUUGUCUGGAAAACCUUUCCACUACAAUUCCUCAAGAAACUACCCUGAGAGGGGGCGACUGUCGAGAGAGAGAGAGGGCAGCUAAAAAGGUGCUCUCUUGUCGAAGUCGUCGGCCGUUGUAAUUAUUUUAAUUUUUUUUUUUUUUUAAUUUUUUUCACUGCGUCAUCAUUAUUUUUCUCUGCCUUUGAUAUAAUUCUUCUUUGUAUCAUUUGCACACGAUUGCACACACACACACA